GAUUCUGAUUGGAACAGAGCGCUCUCUCUUUCUCUCUCUCGCCCUGUAGUCACGCAGCCGUCAUCACCUCCAGUGGCUGCAGCCGUGGCCUCAUUUUCCGCAGGGACGCGCUCCACUUAUGCUGCACUCUUAAUUACACUCUGCACCGCUGAGGCCUUAAAGAGGAUUGGGUUUGACUGUUUGGGUUUGACUUCUCAAUCUGACCCUCAGUUAUCUGCUGCUGAUCUAGCUGUCUCGUGUCAGUCAAUAAACCUACAGCCUGAUUUUCCAUCAGAUGAGACCUCUGAAAUUCAGAAGCAAGCAGGAAGACACGAACAAAGACAACCAAAGGAAAAAUGCAGUCCGAGGAUGAUAUGGCGCUCGGAUUGAAGCCAGAUGCAGAGUCGAGAGAGACCCGCAUGGCUGGCAGCUGUUGAUGAGUGCGGCUUAUGGUCAUUUCCAAUUCAUCUCUAUACUGAAAGGUUCAGAUGUUCGCUUCACCACAGGCAGGUAGAGCGACGGAGCACACUUAUCUGACACCCUUCUCCCUCUCUCCUCACCUAGCCUUUUUUUAUUGGUGAUCUAACCUGCAAUGAGGAGAUAAAGGCAGGCAGGCUUUUUCCAUAAAUGCACUUAUCAGAGCCCAACAAGCUCUCCAACACUUGUCUGACUGACAGCCCAGCUCUUCGGAAUUCUGCAGGCAUCUGAUUCCCCUGCUUUACGUGGACGCACAUGCACAGACGUUCACACGUACAAACACAUCCUUGCCUCUCGCAUUUGCCUCUUGCCUCUUAUGUAGAUGGGAAGAUGAGAACUAGUACACAUGCUCAACUAAUGAAGAAAUGAGAGAACUAUCGUCUCCACUCAAGCAUGUGUGACACCUUUUACAAAUAGUAUAUGACUAGAAAUCAUUAAUUAAAUUUAAGUAACUGUCUUAGUAUUAAAUGGUUAGUGAAAAAAGGUGCCU
ensembl:lncRNA